GCCAUGGCGAGAGGCCGCGCCGCGGCGCCCGCGACACGGUCCCCGGCCCCGGCCCAGUCCCCGGCCGCGCCCCCGCCCGCCGCUCCGGGGCCCACUAGGCCCCCGCCCCCGCGCGCCCCCGGCCCGUGACGCGCGCGCUCGAGAGGAGCCCCGGGAGCGUCCCCGAUCGCCCGGGCACGCGCCCACAACGAACCCCCGCCGCCCCGAGGACGCGAGCCACCGGCGGCCGGGGCCGGGCCAAGCACGACGCGGAGCAGCGACACCGGCCCCGGGACCGCGCCCGCCGCCCCCGCGCCUCCUGCGGGAAUUGAACUCAGAGCUUCAAGCCUGCUAAGCAUACAUGUAGUCUCCCAUUGAGUCACCUCUUCAGCCCAGAAUAACUGGUGCUUUUGGUGCAACACUUUGAAGACAGAAGACAACCCCAUGGGGUGCAAAAUAAAAAAAGCUUCAUUCGUGA